rnacentral:rRNA from 1 species
AUUGAACGCUGGCGGCAGGCCUAACACAUGCAAGUCGAGCGUGAAAGGGCUUCGGCCUGAGUAAAGCGGCGGACGGGUGAGUAACGCGUAGGAAUCUACCUGGUAGUGGGGGAUAACGUUCCGAAAGGGACGCUAAUACCGCAUACGUUCCGAGGAAGAAAGCAGGGGACCUUCGGGCCUUUGCUAGCAGAUGAGCCUGCGUCCGAUUAGCUAGUUGGUGGGGUAAAGGCAUACCAAGGAGACGAUCGGUAACUGGUCUGAGAGGAUGAUCAGUCACACGGGAACUGAGACACGGUCCAGACUCCUACGGGAGGCAGCAGUGGGGAAUAUUGGACAAUGGGCGCAAGCCUGAUCCAGCCAUGCCGCGUGUGUGAAGAAGGCCUUCGGGUGGUAAAGCACUUUAAGCGGGGAGGAAGGCCUGAUGGCUAAUAUCCAUCAGGAUUGACGUUACCCGCAGAAUAAGCACCGGCAAACUUCGUGCCAGCCGCCGCGGUAACAC